rnacentral:tRNA from 1 species
GGCCAGUUAGCUCAGUCAGUUGAGCGUGGUGCUAACAACACCAAGGCCGCGGGCUCAAUUCCCGUUUGGUCC